rnacentral:rRNA from 1 species
CAGCAGCCGCCACGGGAAUACAGAGGGUGCGAGCGUUAAUCGGAUUUACUGGGCGUAAAGCGUGCGUAGGCGGCUUUUUAAGUCGGAUGUGAAAUCCCUGAGCUUAACUUAGGAAUUGCAUUCGAUACUGGGAAGCUAGAGUAUGGGAGAGGAUGGUAGAAUUCCAGGUGUAGCGGUGAAAUGCGUAGAGAUCUGGAGGAAUACCGAUGGCGAAGGCAGCCAUCUGGCCUAAUACUGACGCUGAGGUACGAAAGCAUGGGGAGCAAACAGGAUUAGAUACCCCCGUAGUCCCUGUCUCUUU